rnacentral:rRNA from 1 species
CGAGUGAAGCGGCAAGAGCUCAAAUUUGAAAGCUGGCUCCUUCGGGGUCCGCAUUGUAAUUUGUAGAGGAUGCUUCGGGAGCGGUCCCCAUCUAAGUGCCCUGGAACGGGACGUCAUAGAGGGUGAGAAUCCCGUAUGGGAUGGGGUGUCCGCGCCCGUGUGAAGCUCCUUCGACGAGUCGAGUUGUUUGGGAAUGCAGCUCUAAAUGGGUGGUAAAUUUCAUCUAAAGCUAAAUAUUGGCCGGAGACCGAUAGCGCACAAGUAGAGUGAUCGAAAGAUGAAAAGCACUUUGAAAAGAGAGUUAAAAAGCACGUGAAAUUGUUGAAAGGGAAGCGCUUGCGAUCAGACUCGCUCGCGGGGUUCAGCCGGCAUUCGUGCCGGUGUAUUUCCCCGCGGGCGGGCCAGCGUCGGUUUGGGCGGUCGGUCAAAGGCCCUCGGAAGGUAACGCCCCUAGGGGCGUCUUAUAGCCGAGGGUGCAAUGCGACCUGCCUAGACCGAGGAACGCGCUUCGGCUCGGACGCUGGCAUAAUGGUCGUAAGCGACCCGUCUUGAAACACGGACCAAGGAGUCUAACAUCUACGCGAGUGUUCGGGUGUCAAACCCGUGCGCGAAGUGAAAGCGAACGGAGGUGGGAACCCUUACGGGUGCACCAUCGACCGAUCCUGAAGUCUUCGGAUGGAUUUGAGUAAGAGCGUAGCUGUUGGGACCCGAAAGAUGGUGAACUAUGCCUGAAUAGGGCGAAGCCAGAGGAAACUCUGGUGGAGGCUCGUAGCGGUUCUGACGUGCAAAUCGAUCGUCGAAUUUGGGUAUAGGGGCG